AGAGUUUGAUCCUGGCUCAGAAUGAACGUUGGCGGCGUGGAUUAGGCAUGCAAGUCGCGCGCACCGCAAGGUGAGCGGCGCAAGGGUGAGUAAGGCGACGGUAACCAACCCCACGGUUGGGCAUUAGCCGCGGGAAACCGCGGGUAAUUCCCAGCGAAGUUGCGAGGAGGCAUCUCCUGGCAACCAAAAGUUCCGGCGCCGUGGGACGGGCCGUCGUGGUAUUAGCUAGUUGGCGGGGUGACGGCCCACCAAGGCUGCGAUGCCUACCGGGCGUGCGAGCGUGGCCCGGCACACUGGGACUGAGACACUGCCCAGACUCCUACGGGAGGCUGCAGUCGAGAAUCUUCGGCAAUGGGCGCAAGCCUGACCGAGCGACGCCGCGUGGAGGACGAAGGCCUUCGGGUUGUAAACUCCUGUCGAGGGGGAGGAAGGGGCAAC
rnacentral:rRNA from 1 species